AACUGUCAAAUCAGGAUCGGAUGUUUAGGGAUCUUCGCUAUGAAAGCAUGACAUGAGCACUGCCGCACGAAGGGCAACACCUCAGAUUAUCCCGUGUGCUGACUUCAGUCCCGGUUCAAAAUAGAGAUGCAAGAGCCAUCUACUGGUCACAAACUCAAACGCGGAUCUUAACGGAAGCGGAAGGAAAAAAGGAAAAACACUGAGACUUAUAUACACAGUUCUUAUCGAUCUAGCAAACCUGACAGAGGGUGUUUGAUAGUGAGGUACUACAUAGUUGCACGGACGUUGUAUUAUGCCGUUCUCGCACACGCGCUGCAGUUAACCCCAUCAAGAAGAUCCGGCUUCCAGCACAACAUCGUCGAUGAAAACAUGGAGGCCUUCCUUCACGAUCUUGGAACGUGUGGCCCACUUUCCAGCCAGUGGAUGAAACCGCUUCUGAACAUAGGCCUAAAUAUUGCUUUCACCGUCUAUGUUCCAACUGUCUGUCAUUGCUGCCGGGGUUUAUUGUGUUGGAUAAAGGCAGCGUCAUGUGCAGCAAUCGAAUCACGUUAGAGAGCAGCAGAGCGGAUUCGAGGAGCUCUCGCUGCGUUACUUGCGCAAAUCAAAUCAAAUCAAUCGACAACGUCCGCCGUAUUGCGUUCCCAUUGAUGAUAUCAUUGAAGAGACAGGUCACACAGCCAAAUGACAUCAGCAGACCUCGUUAUGUAUGUGCCCCAGUUCUUGAUUGUUCGUCAUCUUUUUUUGGAGGCGCACUCCAACAUAUUUUUUGCUGGAACUCUGACUGAAUGUGUAAUACUAUUAUGAAGGCAGUCAUUGCUUUUUACAGCACUACCAUCUUCUAUCAACGUUAUUUGAAUACAGUAUUUCGUAAAGAC